UUGCUAUGAUGAGUACUUUCAGUUUUUGAGAAGCUCAUGAAUGCUUGAUGAAACAUUGACAAUCAUGUCAGUGCUGAGCGGUUACCUGAGCAU